rnacentral:tRNA from 1 species
GGGGUUGUGGCUUAGUGGUAGAGCACUUGCUUCACAUGCAUGAGGUACUGGUUUUGAUCCUCAGCACCA